AUUGAACGCUGGCGGCAGGCUUAACACAUGCAAGUCGAGCGGAGAUGAGGUGCUUGCACCUUAUCUUAGCGGCGGACGGGUGAGUAAUGCUUAGGAAUCUGCCUAUUAGUGGGGGACAACAUUCCGAAAGGAAUGCUGAUACCGCAUACGUCCUACGGGAGAAAGCAGGGGACCUUCGGGCCUUGCGCUAAUAGAUGAGGCUAAGUCGGAUUAGCUAGUUGGUGGGGUAAAGGCCUACCAAGGCGACGAUCUGUAGCGGGUCUGAGAGGAUGAACCGCCACACUGGGACUGAGACACGGCCCAGAAUCCUACGGGAGGCAGCAGUGGGGAAUAUUGGACAAUGGGGGGAACCCUGAUCCAGCCAUGCCGCGUGUGUGAAGAAGGCCUUUUGGUUGUAAAGCACUUUAAGCGAGGAGGAGGCUACUGGUAUUCGUACUACCGGAUAGUGGACGUUACUCGCAGAAUAAGCACCGGCUAACUCUGUGCCAGCCGCCGCGGUAAAAC
rnacentral:rRNA from 1 species